rnacentral:rRNA from 1 species
AUACGGAGGGUGCAAGCGUUAAUCGGAAUUACUGGGCGUAAAGCGCGCGUAGGCGGCUUGAUAAGUCGGAUGUGAAAUCCCCGGGCUUAACCUGGGAAUUGCAUUCGAUACUGUCAGGCUAGAGUGUGGUAGAGGGAAGUGGAAUUUCCGGUGUAGCGGUGAAAUGCGUAGAUAUCGGAAAGAACAUCAGUGGCGAAGGCGGCUUCCUGGAUCAACACUGACGCUGAGGUGCGAAAGCGUGGGGAGCAAACAGGAUUAGAAACCCGAGUAGUCC